ACGCACGCUGGCGGCGUGCUUAACACAUGCAAGUCGAGCGGAAAGGCCCUUCGGGGUACUCGAGCGGCGAACGGGUGAGUAACACGUGAGUAACCUGCCCCAGACUUUGGGAUAACCCUCGGAAACGGGGGCUAAUACCGGAUACGACACAGCUUCGCAUGGGGUCUGUGUGGAAAGUUUUUCGGUUUGGGAUGGGCUCGCGGCCUAUCAGCUUGUUGGUGGGGUGAUGGCCUACCAAGGCGACGACGGGUAGCCGGCCUGAGAGGGCGACCGGCCACACUGGGACUGAGACACGGCCCAGACUCCUACGGGAGGCAGCAGUGGGGAAUAUUGCACAAUGGGCGGAAGCCUGAUGCAGCGACGCCGCGUGAGGGAUGAUGGCCUUCGGGUUGUAAACCUCUUUCAGCAGGGACGAAGCGUAAGUGACGGUACCUGCAGAAGAAGCGCUGGCCAACUACGUG
rnacentral:rRNA from 1 species